GGGCUAGGGUUGUAGUGGGCUAAGCACAAACAAAGAGGCCCAAGGCCUCAGGUCUGGUUGGGGACACCCCAGCCAAGGCUGGGCAUGUUGUCGUCGAUGAAACAAGGCACGGCGCUGCAGGUUGGGCUAUUCCUAAGAAGUUGAUGUCGAAGUUACGUCGAGAUGAUGUUCCAAACCAUCUGAGGAGUGAUAAAUCUCGAACUCCGUGGAGAUUUCGAAGGAAAACUCGAAGCCUGAAUCUUGGGGAGAAGAUCGGACGACAUCUAGUCGUCGGCUUUCACCACUGUGAUAACUUCAAGUCAUCAAAAAAUUAUGGGUCUCACCUGGAAACGAUUGCAGGUCGUCUAUGUUUGUCGAAAAUCAUAUAUUUCGACAAAAAAUCGCACAAUUGUGAUGAGGUAGACGGAGAAGAUGGUACGAACGACAAGUCGUUCUAAUCCAUGUCUCUAGCUUAGCGCAAGCUUUGGCUUAGUGGCUCCAAAAUGAGUUGCAUGCUUAAGCUGAGAAUUUGUUAAUUAAGCCUAGUUUAAAGAAGACUAGGGCAUUUAAGCCCAUUACGAGUUCUAGGGUUUCAGCAACCUUUUUUUUUUUUUUUUGUUUCUGUAUUCACACGUAUGUAAUUCAUAUAAUAGCAAUAUUAUGAUUAUAAUGCAUAAACAAUUUAUGUAAAAUCUAAAAUUCGUAAAUCGUAAAGUUGGGUCAUGCAUUAUGGUGAAGGUUCAUGCAAUCAAGGCUGAAAAAAAAUCAAGAUAAACACCGUUGUUUUAGAAGAACCUGGAUUGCGUGAUGAAUAUUGUGAAUGGGUUUGUAGGAGUUCUUUCUUCAAUUUCAGCUUUCAUCUUCAAGCUUGUAUCAUGUUCAACAUAAGAAGAAAAAUAAAUUGAAUCAAUAAAAGUAUAUGAAUUCAAUACAAUCAAAAUUCAAUCAAUUAAAAAAUAAUUGAAACAUAAUACUCCCCUGAUUGAAGAUGAAUAAAUUCUCUUUAGCACAGCGUGAAGAGCGUGAUGAUAACGUGUUGUGGCCUAUAUUUAAUAGAAAGGUGCGGCAAAGGGAAAAAGAGAGAGUGGAGAAUAGGCUUGAGGAAUUGUGUGUUAAUUCCCCAGUCUUUGUGCCUUUAUUUAUAGUAAUAAGGAGGAAAGAAACUUGCUCUCCAAGUAAUACAAAGUAUAUUAGGAAAG
rnacentral:lncRNA from 1 species